rnacentral:rRNA from 1 species
UUACCAAACUGUUGCCUCGGCGGGAUCUCUGCCCCGGGUGCGUCGCAGCCCCGGACCAAGGCGCCCGCCGGAGGACCAACCAAAACUCUUAUUGUAUACCCCCUCGCGGGUUUUUUUAUAAUCUGAGCCUUCUCGGCGCCUCUCGUAGGCGUUUCGAAAAUGAAUCAAAACUUUCAACAACGGAUCUCUUGGUUCUGGCAUCGAUGAAGAACGCAGCGAAAUGCGAUAAGUAAUGUGAAUUGCAAAAUUCAGUGAAUCAUCGAAUCUUUGAACGCACAUUGCGCCCGCCAGUAUUCUGGCGGGCAUGCCUGUCCGAGCGUCAUUUCAACCCUCGAACCACUCCGGGGGGUCGGCGUUGGGGAUCGGCCCUGCCUUGGCGGUGGCCGUCUCCGAAAUACAGUGGCGGUCUCGCCGCAGCCUCUCCUGCGCAGUAGUUUGCACACUCGCAUCGGGAGCGCGGCGCGUCCACAGCCGUUAAACACCCAACUUCUGAAAUGUGACCUCGGAUCAGGUAGGAAACCCGCGAACUAG